AUUGAACGCUGGCGGCAGGCCUAACACAUGCAAGUCGAGCGGCAGCGGGACCUUCGGGUUGCCGGCGAGCGGCGGACGGGUGAGUAAUGCCUAGGAAUCUGCCUGUUAGUGGGGGAUAACGCGGGGAAACUCGCGCUAAUACCGCAUACGUCCUACGGGAGAAAGCGGGGGCUCUUCGGACCUCGCGCUAACAGAUGAGCCUAGGUCGGAUUAGCUAGUUGGUGGGGUAAUGGCCCACCAAGGCGACGAUCCGUAACUGGUCUGAGAGGAUGAUCAGUCACACUGGAACUGAGACACGGUCCAGACUCCUACGGGAGGCAGCAGUGGGGAAUAUUGGACAAUGGGCGAAAGCCUGAUCCAGCCAUGCCGCGUGUGUGAAGAAGGUCUUCGGAUUGUAAAGCACUUUAAGUCGGGAGGAAGGACUGUAGGCUAAUACCCUGCAGUUUUGACGUUACCGACAGAAUAAGCACCGGCUAACUUCGUGCCAGCCGCCGCAGUAACAC
rnacentral:rRNA from 1 species